UUGUAAAAGUUUAUUGACAUGGUCAAAAAGCAAACAGCCAGACAUUUGGUUAUUUUUGCCACUACAAUGUGUCAUUUUGAAUAGUAUUUUUAAAAUGUAUAACAAAUAAUAUUUAAACCAUUACUAGAAAAGUAAAGAGUCUAAGGCACUUCAUAUGAAAGCUAAUUUCAAAAUUUUCACAAAGUUAACACUAUACUAAGUGUAGUAAACCUGCUUUCUACAGAUUUUAGCCAGAAUGCAACUUUUCUCCUUACAGAAAAAGAAUGUGCUCUUAAGGAAGAUAAAACAAAUGCAACAAAACUGUCAUUAUUUUAAUGCUUAUGGCAAAGUAUCUGGAGCUAUACAGAUUACAUGACAGUAGUAUUUUCUUGAUCAGUCUAUAUAGAUUAGGGCAUUUUAAUACAAGUCUCAUAGGAAUCACAGCAUGAAUUUAUUUGGCCUGAGACAAGUAAAAGAACAGCAGAUAAGGUAUCCAGAAUCACAAAAUUUUUAGGGGAGUAACUAACAAAAAGUGGCUCCAUUAAAGAGUAAAAGGUUGACUAUAUACCUCCACCCACCAAAUCUAAU